GUUGAAGAACGUAGCGAAAUGCGAUAAGUAGUGUGAAUUGCAGAAUUCAGUGAAUCAUCGAAUCUUUGAACGCACAUUGCGCCCCUUGGUAUCCCGAGGGGCAUGCCUGUUCGAGCGUCAUUUCACCACUCAAGCCUGGCUUGGUGUUGGGCGACGUCCUCUUUGGGGACGCGCCUCGAAACGCUCGGCGGCGUGGCACCGGCUUUAAGCGUAGCAGAAUCUUUCGCUUUGGAAGUCGGGGCCCCGUCUGCCGGAAGACCUGCUCGCAAGGUUGACCUCGGAUCAGGCAGGGAUACCCGCUGAACUUAAGCAUAUCAAUAGCGGAGGA
rnacentral:misc_RNA from 1 species